CGCAUACCGUCACGUGACCACGAGACGAGCCAGUUCACAGUGGUCUCUCCGUCUGUGGUAUGUUUCUCUGUUGCCUUUCCUCCCAGUGACCUUAUUUGACCCCUAUUCUUCCUCCUGGGCCAACAAGAAGCACCUAAUCACGCAUUUGAGAUAAUUGUGAAGAAGGUAAUGUAUUUUGCAAGAUGUUGCCACAUGUUAUUGCUGUUAUUGUGUUGCAUAUGGUUGCUGUUUUUGUGAUGAUUUGGACUGUAUCACUCAUCAUUUUGGAUUUUUGGCAUCAGAUAAAAGAGCAGCAUCCUCAGCAAAUUUUCGGUGGCAAAAGAAAACCUAUUUCUCCUAAUGAAAUAUCAAACAAGAUCUGGCAUCCACAAGUAGAAAUUUCCCCUGAAAGAAAGGCAUCCCAGAAGACAGGAAAGCAAGUAAGGUGCCUUGUAGAAGCCAAAGAUGAUGUGGUUAUAGAAAUGAAUAGCUCGGUAAAUUAACUUCAACAAAAUAGAACCCAGGAGAAUUUUUUUCGUCAUCAGUCUAUGUUUUCAGUGACUAUAUUUUUGUAUUUUACAUUAUGGUUGGAAAUCUCUUUUAAAUAUGUAUUUCGAGUCAAAGGACAAUGAUGAAAGAAGAUGAGUGUGAUUAAGGAGCUAGGUGAAUAAAGUAGCCUAUUGUAGUUUUUAUUCAUUGCAUCAAAUUUUGUUUUAAUGGAUGGUAUUUGUAAAGGAAAGAUAUCCAUGAAAAGUUAAAAAUCUUUCAGUAAGAUCGGUUAUAGGUUUUAUGAAAAAUGGAGUAAGAAUUUAUAUUUCUGACCAGGCAUUUCCAGAUGCAUGCCCUAGGAAGUGAGGAUAAUUGUUUUUUUUUUUAUAGAAAAAUUAAUAACUUUUUUCAUAGUAAAAUUUUCUAUUCACAUAAAUGUUUUGUUUCUUUUGAUAGCAAGUAGAAAAUGUAGGGAAAACCUGAUAUCUUUUCAUGUUGUUGCUUGUAAAUAAAAAAUAAUAUACCAAAUGGUAGGAUCUUGUAGUAUAGGAUGCCUGUGUCAGGGAUUGUUAGGAUAACGGGAAAUGCCUGCUGGCAUCAAAGUUUAAAUAAUGUAAGAUCCUCAUACUAGGGCCAGACAGAAAUUUUUUCCAUGGCAUUGUGAAGUGGUAAUACUAUUAAUGUGCUUUUAAAUAAGUCGUGAUGUUUAGUGUAAUGACUGUACGGAUUACUGAUAUCUUCCCAUUUGCUAUUCUGUCAACGUCAGUGCUUUCUUCUACUCAGUUUUUUCCAUUUUUAUUUUACUACCCCUUUAUUCUUAUUUGUUUUAUACUAGUGUUUCUUGUUUUUUUAUACUUAUCAGUAAUGCAACCAUUUCACUUUUCCAUUAUUUUCUUUAAUAGUAAGGAUGUCACAACAGGAAAUUUUGUGGCUUGUACCAUAUUUUGAAAUUUUUUCCAAUUAUUGUUUGGGGAGAAAUUCUGUAUGUAUUGAGUUUUCCUUUCUUGUGUUACAUAGUUGUAAUUUUUGUGAAACUACUUGAAAUUAGAAGAAAAGUGUAAAGCUACAUACAGUUGCAAAUUUAUGAAGAAAAAAAUUGGCCCAUUCUGUUUUAUGAAAUAUUCAAGUGCUUGUCAGGGUUUCAUUAAAACUUUUCAGCUCUUAAUAAU